UACAGAGGGUGCAAGCGUUAAUCGGAAUUACUGGGCGUAAAGGGUAUGUAGGCGGAUACCCUAAGUCGAUUGUGAAAGCCCCGGGCUCAACCUGGGAACUGCAUUCGAUACUGAGUAUCUAGAGUAUGGUAGAGGAAAGUGGAAUUCCCGGUGUAGCGGUGAAAUGCCGUAGAUAUCGGGAGGAACACCAGUGGCGAAGGCGGCUUCUGGACCAAUACUGACGCUGAAAUACGAAAGCGUGGGACGCAAAGCACGGAGUUGAG
rnacentral:rRNA from 1 species